CAGAACGAACGCUGGCGGCGCGUUUUAAGCAUGCAAGUCGAACGGCAACUAUCCUUCGGGAUAGCUAGAGUGGCGAACGGGUGAGUAACACGUAGGUGAUCUGCCCUUGAGUUGGGGAUAGCCCAUGGAAACAUGGGGUAGUACCGAAUACGUUCGGGAGUCUGUGGAUUCCCGAGGAAAAGCGCUUCGGCGCUGCUCGAGGAUGAGCCUGCGGCUGAUUAGCUAGUUGGUAGGGUAAGAGCCUACCAAGGCGACGAUCAGUAGCCGGCCUGAGAGGGUGAGCGGCCACACUGGGACUGAGAUACGGCCCAGACUCCUACGGGAGGCAGCAGCUAAGAAUCUUCUGCAAUGGACGAAAGUCUGACAGAGCGACGCCGCGUGGGUGAAGAAGGCCGGAAGGUUGUAAAGCCCUUUUCUACUCGAGGAAUAACCAUUGGAGGCAAUGCCAGUGGGAUGACGGUAGGGUAGGAAUAAGCCCCGGCCAAUUACGUGCCAGCAGCCGCGGUAACACGUAUGGGGCGAGCGUUGUUCGGAAUUAUUGGGCGUAAAGGGCGCGUAGGCGGAUAUGCAAGCUUGGUGUGAAAGACCGCAGCUCAACUGCGGGAGCGCGCUGAGAACUGUGUAUCUAGAGUUCAAGAGGGGAAGCUGGAAUUCCUGGUGUAGGGGUGAAAUCUGUAGAUAUCAGGAAGAACAUCAGUGGCGAAGGCGAGCUUCUGGCUAUGAACUGACGCUGAGGCGCGAAAGCGUGGGGAGCGAACAGGAUUAGAUACCCUGGUAGUCCACGCUGUAAACGAUGUGCACUAGGUGUCGGGUCGUUGAAGAUUCGGUGCCGUAGCUAACGCGUUAAGUGCACCGCACUGGGGAGUAUGCUCGCAAG
rnacentral:rRNA from 1 species